AAUAAUACUAGUUAUAGUGCACGUGCAAUGCACGUAAAUUAAUUAAAUUAAAUUUAUAUUUAUAUUUAUAUUUAAAUAAUUAUUGGUGGUAUAAAUUUAUUUAUCAAUUAAUUUUUUUUGCUAAUAUUAGUUUUUUUUAAUAUGUAUCCAAAUUUUAAAAAUUUUAAAUUAAUAAAUUCAUAUUUAAAAUUUAAAAUUAAUUUUGAAUCCAUAAUUU
rnacentral:lncRNA from 1 species